AUGAACGCUGACAGAAUGCUUAACACCUGCAAGUCAACUUGAACUUCGGUUUGGGUGGCGGACGGGUGAGUAACGCGUAAAGAACUUGCCUCACAGCUAGGGACAACAUUUGGAAACGAAUGCUAAUACCUGAUAUUAUGAUUUUAGGGCAUCCUAGAAUUAUGAAAGCUAUAUGCGCUGUGAGAGAGCUUUGCGUCCCAUUAGCUAGUUGGAGAGGUAACGGCUCACCAAGGCGAUGAUGGGUAGCCGGCCUGAGAGGGUGAACGGCCACAAGGGGACUGAGACACGGCCCUUACUCCUACGGGAGGCAGCAGUGGGGAAUAUUGGACAAUGGACCAAGAGUCUGAUCCAGCAAUUCUGUGUGCACGAUGAAGUUUUUCGGAAUGUAAAGUGCUUUCAGUUGGGAAGAAAAAAAUGACGGUACCAACAGAAGAAGUGACGGCUAAAUACGUG
rnacentral:rRNA from 1 species